rnacentral:rRNA from 1 species
CACUAGUGAUUGUUUGAUCCUGGCUCAGGAUGAACGCUAGCGGCAGGCUUUAACACAUGCAAGUCGAGGGGUAGAGGAAGCUUGCUUCCUUGAGACCGGCGCACGGGUGCGUAACGCGUAUGCAACCUACCCUUUACAGAGGGAUAGCCCAGAGAAAUUUGGAUUAAUACCUCAUGGUAUAUAUCAUUCGCAUGUUUGAUAUAUUAAAGUUCCAACGGUAAAAGAUGGGCAUGCGUCCUAUUAGCUAGAUGGUAAGGUAACGGCUUACCAUGGCAACGAUAGGUAGGGGUCCUGAGAGGGAGAUCCCCCACACUGGUACUGAGACACGGACCAGACUCCUACGGGAGGCAGCAGUGAGGAAUAUUGGACAAUGGGCGCAAGCCUGAUCCAGCCAUGCCGCGUGCAGGAAGAAGCAUCUAUGGUGUGUAAACUGCUUUUGUACGGGAAGAAACACUCCUUCGUGAAGGAGCUUGACGGUACCGUAAGAAUAAGGAUCGGCUAACUCCGUGCCAGCAGCCGCGGUAAUACGGAGGAUCCAAGCGUUAUUCGGAAUCAUUGGGUUUAAAGGGUCCGUAGGCGGUUUGGUAAGUCAGUGGUGAAAGCCCGCAGCUCAACUGUGGAACGGCCAUUGAUACUGCCAGACUUGAAUUACAAGGAAGUAACUAGAAUAUGUAGUGUAGCGGUGAAAUGCUUAGAUAUUACAUGGAAUACCAAUUGCGAAGGCAGGUUACUACUUGUGGAUUGACGCUGAUGGACGAAAGCGUGGGGAGCGAACAGGAUUAGAUACCCUGGUAGUCCACGCCGUAAACGAUGGAUACUAGCUGUUGGGGGCAACUUCAGUGGCUAAGCGAAAGUGAUAA